rnacentral:rRNA from 1 species
UACGUAGGGCGCGAGCGUUAAUCGGAAUUACUGGGCGUAAAGCGCGCGCAGGCGGCUAUCCAAGUCAGUGGUGAAAGCCCGGAGCUCAACUCCGGAACUGCCAUUGAAACUGUUUGGCUUGAGGAUGAGAGAGGUGAGUGGAAUUCCCAGUGUAGAGGUGAAAUUCGUAGAUAUUGGGAAGAACACCGGUGGCGAAGGCGGCUCACUGGCUCAUUACUGACGCUCAGGCGCGAUAGCGUGGGGAUCAAACAGG